rnacentral:rRNA from 1 species
UUCUGGCUCAGGAUGAACGCUAGCGACAGGCUAACACAUGCAAGUCGAGGGGCAUCACGGGAGUAGCAAUACAACUGGUGGCGACCGGCGCACGGGUGAGUAACGCGUAUGCAACCUACCUAUCAGAGGGGAAUAACCCGGCGAAAGUCGGACUAAUACCGCAUAAAACAGGGGCACCGCAUGGUGAUAUUUGUUAAAGAAAUUCGCUGAUAGAUGGGCAUGCGUUCCAUUAGGUAGUUGGUGAGGUAACGGCUCACCAAGCCGACGAUGGAUAGGGGAACUGAGAGGUUGGUCCCCCACACUGGUACUGAGACACGGACCAGACUCCUACGGGAGGCAGCAGUGAGGAAUAUUGGUCAAUGGGCGGGAGCCUGAACCAGCCAAGUCGCGUGAAAGGAAGAAGGAUCUAUGGUUCGUAAACUUCUUUUGCAGGGGAAUAAAGUGCAGGACGUGUCCUGUUUUGUAUGUACCCUGAGAAUAAGGAUCGGCUAACUCCGUGCCAGCCGCAGC